GCGUUAUGAACCGGGUGUGUUAAAUGUAAUUGAAUAUAAAAAAGCAAAAAAGUUCAUAUGACCGUUGGAUAAGUAUGCCCAAGAUGAUUACUUAUUUAUUUAGUUUGUUCAUGGUAGCUUUAUGGAACGGGUCUAUUUAAAUGUGAUUGAACAUAAAAAAGCUAAAAGUUCAUCAAAAUAAAACGCUAAAUCACCACAAUACACCAAAACACUUUUACUUUUACACUGGAUGCGCAUUUUGCUAACCAUGUUAGCAUCAUCAGCAGAUGAUUAUAAACUGAACUGUAAAAGUUCAUGCGACCGUUGGAUAUAUAUGCCCAAGAUGAUUACUUGUUUAUUUAGUUUGUUCAUGGCAGCGUUAUGGACCGGGUGUGUUAAAUGUUCGAUUAAUUGAAUAAAAAACAAAAGUUCAUGUAUAUUAUUACCGUGAUGCUCCCCUGGGUAGAACUCUAGACUGAAAUAAAUACUGAAGAUAUAACGAUUGAUGCAAGAUUAUUUUUCUGAUAUAGCUUUUAGAAAGUAUCUGAUGCAUGUGCGUUUUACAACAAUUUAUGCUUUUAAUAGUGUUUAUUAAUUUAUGUACUAACCUUAAUAUAUUAGUUAAAAUAAUAACCUUGAUGAUAAUUAUAGAUAACCCUAAUUUUUAAGUCGAAUAAUAUCCUGAAAAGAAUGAGAGCUUUUCAUAUAGAAAAGGAAAUAAGAAUAAAGUAGUAGUAAGCAACCUUUGUUCUACCGUAAAAAACGCGU